rnacentral:lncRNA from 1 species
GGAAAGUGGGAGGAGAGGCUGCACUCUAAACAGCCCUCUUGCCUGAGCAAUCUGACGCAGAGGCACAUGAGGAAUCAGCACGGAACCAUCGACCCACAGGGUUAAUCCCAAUGUCAAUACCUGCUAGAUGUCAGGGAUCCCCUGGGCUGCUGGCGAGCCAUUUGAAAUGACCCAUCUCCUGCCACCUUGGCCUGCUCCUCUGGGCCACCUCUCUCCACCUGCACUUGCUUACCGGAAGACGGCAAGGCCACCGGUGCACUUCGCAGUGCCAGGAGAAAGGCGCCUCAUGCUAUUAGCUCAAAUAAGGAAAAUCAUGCCGGGAAGAUUGAAUUUUCUGCAGACUUGUUUAACCUGGUGAUUUCUGAGCACUUGGCGCUGGCAGCCACGGGGGAGUGGGCUGCCAGCCGGCACUUUAUCAGCCACUUCUCAGGACUAUUCCUAAGCUUAUUAAAUCAGCAUGAGUCACUCCCUUGCCUUCCUCACAAGCAUGAAUCACGAAUCAUCAAAACCCAAGCAAAAUGCAUGACUCAAUAGUUUCUUCGGGGCCUAAAGGGGCUAGCGAGCUGGCGGUAGGGUGUUGUCAACCCGAGACCUCCCCCCACCAACAAGCAGUACUUUCCAGGGAAGGCAAGGGGGCUGCCACAGGGCAAAAAGAAGAGCUCAGAGGAACUUUCAAAUACCUUGCAUGGGCUCAGAAACACGCAGACCUGGGCUCAACCACACACUCGCGCAGUUCUGCUGUAUGCCAGGCACCUUGACAAACACACUAGAGGAGCCAGCAGAGAGCAGGACUAGCCAUUCUCUGCCCCCGCGUUGCUUACAGUCUAGAGGGAAGUGUUUGAAGUAGUUGGGAUCCUAUUUUUAUUUCCUUCCUAGCUAGGAAAAACUUGGACAAGUCAUGUAACAUCUCUGAGUCUCAGUUUCCCCAUUCUAAUGCCUGUUCACAGGGCUGUCCUAAGGAUUAAAAGAGCUAAUAUACAUCAAGUCCCUCACACAGUCCCUAGUGCAUUGUACCUGCUCAACAAGCAUUUGCCCUUUCACUGGAGAGAGAAUGACCCGUGAUGUCUUACAGAGUUCAGGGAAUCCUCUGCCAAUCCCCACCUACCCUCCCCUUUGCACCC